AUUGAACGCUAGCGGCAUGCUUAACACAUGCAAGUCGAACGAGUGGCGGACGGGUGAGUAAUGUAUGGGAACGUGCCUAGUAGCGGGGGAUAACUACUGGAAAGAGUGGCUAAUACCGCAUACCAUAGGAUGGGCCCAUAUGGGAUUAGCUAGUUGGUGGGGUAAAGGCUCACCAAGGCGACGAUCCGUAGCUGGUUUGAGAGGAUGACCAGCCACACUGGGACUGAGACACGGCCCAGACUCCUACGGGAGGCAGCAGUGGGGAAUUUUGGACAAUGGGGGCAACCCUGAGCCAGCCAUCCCGCGUGUAUGAGAAGGCCUUCGGGUUGUAAAGUACUUUUGGCAGAGAAGCGUUAUCUGCAGAAUAAGCACCGGCUAACUACGUGCCAGCAGCCGCGGUAAUUC
rnacentral:rRNA from 1 species